AGGUAAUGAACUUGAUUAAGUAUAUAUUUUGAAAAUAUAAAAUAGAAUUAGAAUUUUCUAUUAUCUU
rnacentral:tRNA from 1 species